GCUCUUUACAGCCUGGUGUCUAGCCUCGGCAGAUAAAAGAGAUCCUCACUUUGUUAGUGUUCCAAACCUGCAGGAAGAAGCCAGACAAAAUAGCCCCCCGAACCUUAAGGCAGAGGUCUCCCAGUGGCAUCGGCUCAAAGACCUGGUCUCCAAACUGGCACACAAAGCUGCGGGGUCUGGCACCACAUCUACUGGGAAGCAAAGCACAUGUAGGUAGGUACAGUUAUAAGCACAGCAAUAGGACAUGGAACGGGGCAAGAUAAGGUGGGUUAUGGGAGUUACAUUUCAGAUUAAAUUAAUUUGGUCCCAUUCUUUCCCUUUGUAGAUCUCAAGUUCCUCUAGAUGGUUCCACUCAGCACCCUCAAAGAAUAAUCUUUCCCGGACUGGUCAUCAGGCCCCGCAACCAAAGGGGACCCUUCCACUGAGCUGUGUCUUGUGGAGAUUAAACACUCUGCCCAAAAUCAUCCGGCACUUGCACUUCACAGAGAGAUUCUCUGAGGGGAACCAGGAUGGCGCUACAAUGUUCUCAGAGAGGAUCCAGGAGCAGCCCUUGAAAUUCAGAGGUAUCGGUAUGGUGCCUUGAGAAACCUGGACAGACCUGAAAUACUGACACAGGAACCAGGACGCAGGUCUGUGCAAUAAAUGGAUGACUCAAUGGAGAACUCGUGGUGUUCUGAGAAACCAGGAAAGGCCCGUGGUGCUAAAGGAACCAGGAAAUGGCUGCACAGGUCAGAGGAAUCCAUAAAGUAUGAUGAGAUCUGGGACAAGUCUCCAGUAUAGGGAAUACUAUAAAGGGUGCGCAGGAAGGAACUAGGCUGGUAUC